rnacentral:rRNA from 1 species
CCCCUAGAUGUUCUGGGCCGCACGCGCGCUACACUGAACAGUUCAACAAGUCUUAACCUUGGCCGAUAGGUCUGGGUAAUCUUUGAACGCUGUUCGUGAUUGGGAUAGACCUUUGCAAUUAUGGGUCUUCAACGAGGAAUUCCUAGUAAACGCAAGUCAUCAGCUUGCAUUGAUUACGUCCCUGCCCUUUGUACACACCGCCCGUCGCACCUACCGAUUGAAUGGUCCGGUGAAAUCUUCGGAUCUGAGAGAUGUCUGAUUAAUUUCGGACGCCUUUUGGAAAAGUUGCUUAAACCUUACCAUUUAGAGGAAGGUGAAGUCGUAACA